UGACGGUGGCCCUGACCCCCAACAUCGAGAUCGCCAUGGGGCUGUCGUUCCUCAUCUUUAUCUUUUGGAACGUCUUCUCUGGCUUCAUAAUCGUGAGAGAGGUAACCCCCCAUCUGAAUCGGCUGAGAAAUGAAUUGGAUCCAUUAGCGAGCUGGUGAAAUCACCAAAUCAAACCAAACCAAUCCGUAUACCUGACGAGUUGAGUAAAUUUGCUGCAGAUGAUGCCUGUGUGGUGGCGGUGGGUGUACUGGGCGGAUCCGGCGGCAUGGACGGUUUAUGGGCUAAUGUUCUCACAGCUCGCAGACAGGACGGAGC
rnacentral:lncRNA from 1 species